rnacentral:rRNA from 1 species
UACGGAGGGUGCAAGCGUUGUCCGGAUUUAUUGGGUUUAAAGGGUGGCGUAGGCGGCUUGAUAAGUCCGUGGUGAAAGCCAACAGCUCAACUGUUGAACUGCCAUGGAUACUGUCAGGCUUGAGUACAGACGAGGUAGGCGGAAUGGAUCGUGUAGCGGAUGAAAUGCAUAGAUACGAUCCAGAACACCGAUGCGUAGGCAGCUUACUAGGCUGUAACUGACGCUGAGGCACGAAAGCGUGGGGAGCGAACAGG